ensembl:lncRNA
GCACACAGCAGAAGGCUGGCUGGUGCCCUGCCAGAAUCCAGGACUGCAAACACAGAGGCACAGAGUCCAUAAUGAAGGUCAUCAGGAGGUUUUAGGAUUUAUUUGGCAUUCUUGUGCCAGGUACUGAAAUACAAUAGCACAUGUGGAAGGAGCGUGGUUGGGGUCCUGACCAGGGCAAGGCUCAGUGGCCACUGAUGCUCGAGCUUGCCUCACAGCUUAAUGUCGUGAUUAGGAUUGGCCUCAGGACCAGUUUGGAGAUGCUAGAGCUGGGCAGUCAUGCUCCCAUUUCACAGGAGAUGGGGGCAGGGUUGACACGUCUGUGCUUUCUCAAGGUCACGUUGUGGAUGCUGUAAAAUCAGGUUCUGGGUGAGACCAUCUUUGGCCCUGGAAAGACUGAGACCUGCCCAUGGACAGGGCCCCACGUGGCCACUGGGGACUGUUGGUUCCUACCCCACCGUCCCUCUGCUGGGUUCCCCACCCCGAAGACGUGGGCUCGGCCCCUCAGCAUCACGCCCAGAGUUCUGGAGGCCGGAGGCUGGAAGCUCAAGAUCCAGGACACACUCUGAUGGUGCCGUCCAGCUGCAUCCUCACAUGACAGAAGGGGUGAGGGAGCCUGCUGGUGUCCCUUUUCCAAGACCACUCAUCCUCAUCCCACUCCCAAGGGCUCCACCCUCAGGACUGAGUCACCUUCCAAAGGCCCCGCUUCCUACACCAGCACCUGAGGGGCCAUGGCUGCCCCUGUGAAUUUUGGGAGGGCCACAGACAUUCAGAUCACAGCAGGUACGAGCUAUCCACAUGACUGAUGGCUGAUGGAUGUUGACCUUGGUCCUCGGCCUGAGGGCAUGUUUGUUGUGUUGUUUCUGCCUGUAAGCCCCAACCCCAUUCCCAUUCUAUAUUCCUUGGAAUGAAAUCAUUAUGUACACCCCACACUUGAGGAAAUGGGUUAUGCUCUAUUUCCUUGAGGCAGCGUAUCUAUGCAAAUUAUCUAGAAUUUGGGGGCAUGGGAGCUUUGCCUAUUGUUCCUCAUUGAUUCCACAGUUUAUUUGUAUGGAUGUGGACUCGCGCAUAUUGAUUUUGUACUUUGGGUUGUAAUCCACUGUGACAUUAUUUAUUACACUUUGCUCAAACGGUUCCACUUUGGCCACAGAGAGCUUUCCCUUGGCCUCUGUGUCCCUGCGACACACCCUGUCUUCGGGUUUUGUUGGAGCACUUGCUUACUUUCUGGCACAAUGAGAUGCUCCAGCCUCAUCUUGUCUAUUUCCUGCCCCAGCUCUAGUGGGAGCAUUUCUCCCCAGGAGCCAUUUCUUCCAGGAGCCCCGGAUCUUUUAAGUGGAGAAUGGCAGAAACCAAAAUCAAGGCACUAGGUGUGCUCACUGCUACUGUGGUGUCAUUGCUUCUAGGCCCUCUCAGCUGACAGAGCAAGGAAAUAGCCGUGUAUCAAAGAAGUCAUGUAUAUAUACAUGUAAACAUCUCUAUGUGUAUCCAUCUCUAUUUGUAUUAAACUAGACAUGAGUUCAUACUGAUGUCUCCUCCACUAACCCACAUGAAUCUUCUAGCCUCUUCCUCUUGCUUCUCUGUGAACUCCCUCUCUAGCACUGAGAAAAAGUGCUACCCACUUUUUCUGGGUGCUACUUUGGGUGCUACCCACCACCCACCCUCCACUCACUUAGCUGUGCAAUGCCAGAAUACACAAAUAGGGGCUUCAUAUUGGUUAAGCCACACCCCUGUGAGAGGCAACUUUUCAACUGGAGAACAGUGCUCACGUGCAGUUCCUUUUCACUGACUUCUUUCACUUAGCAAUACGCGUGUAGGAUUUACGCAUGCCUUGGCAUGGCUUGAUAACUAUUCCUUUUAUUGCUGAAUCGUAUUCCAUUGCAUGGAAGUAUUCGUUUCUUUAUCCACUCACUUAUUAAAGGACAUCUUGGUUGCUUCCUGUUUUGGGUGAGCAUAAAUAAAGCUGCUACCAAC